rnacentral:misc_RNA from 1 species
CAGUCGUAACAAGGUUUCCGUAGGUGAACCUGCGGAAGGAUCAUUACUGUGGACUCGGUCUCGGGGUCUGGUUUCACAGGGCGAAAGCCCUCGCCAGCUCCCAGAUCGUUAUGCCAACCCGUGUCUAUUUACUCUUGUUGCUUUGGCGGGCCGUGGCCUCCACUGCGGGCUUUGCUCGUACGUGCCCGCCAGGGGACCAAACUCUGAAUGUUAGUGAUGACUGAGUACUAUCUAAUAGUUAAAA